GACGUAGGGCGCGAGCGUUGUCCGGAUUUAUUGGGCGUAAAGAGCUCGUAGGCGGCUUGUCGCGUCGACUGUGAAAUCCCGCGGCUCAACUGCGGGUCUGCAGUCGAUACGGGCAGGCUAGAGUUCGGUAGGGGAGACUGGAAUUCCUGGUGUAGCGGUGAAAUGCGCAGAUAUCAGGAGGAACACCGAUGGCGAAGGCAGGUCUCUGGGCCGAUACUGACGCUGAGGAGCGAAAGCAUGGGGAGCGAACAGG
rnacentral:rRNA from 1 species